rnacentral:rRNA from 1 species
UGAACGCUGGCGGCGUGCCUAAUACAUGCAAGUCGAGCGAACGGACGAGAAGCUUGCUUCUCUGAUGUUAGCGGCGGACGGGUGAGUAACACGUGGAUAACCUACCUAUAAGACUGGGAUAACUUCGGGAAACCGGAGCUAAUACCGGAUGAUAUUUUGAACCGCAUGGUUCAAAAGUGAAAGACGGUCUUGCUGUCACUUAUAGAUGGAUCCGCGCUGCAUUAGCUAGUUGGUAAGGUAACGGCUUACCAAGGCAACGAUGCAUAGCCGACCUGAGGGGGGGGACGGCCAAAGUGGAACUGAGACACGGUCCAGCCUCCGACGGGGGGCAGCAGUGGGGAAUCUUCCGAAAUGGGCGAAAGCCUGACGGAGCAACGCCGCGUGAGUGAUGAAGUUCUUCGGAUCGUAAAACCUUUUUAUUGGGGAAAAACAUUUGUGUAAGUAACGGUGCACAUUUUAGCGGUACCUAAACAGAAAGCCACGGCAAACUACGU